GUCAAUUACACUUCAAAAGCUGGGGUAGAAAACGGUGAUACAUAUACAAUGGGGUAUGAUUCAGUCUUAAAUGGAAGGAAAUUGUGAACUGUUACAACAUGGAUGAACCUUGAAAACGUUAUGCUAAGUGAAAUAAGCCAGUCGCAAAAACAGAAAUAUUAUAUGAUUCCACUUAUUUGUGAUUCCUAGAAUAGUCAAAUUCUUAAAGAUAGAAAGCAAAACGGUGUUUACCAGGGACUGGAGGGAAAGGAGAAUGGGGAGCUAGUGUUUAGAGAGUACAGAGUUUCAUUUGGUGAAGAUGAAAAAGUUCUGGAGAUAGAUGCACUGAUGGUUCACAACAAUGUGAAUGAACUUAAUGUCACAGAACUGUUCUCCUAAAAAUGGUUAAAAUGGUAAAUUUUUCUUUACGUAUUUUUUACCACAACAAAAAAGAAGGCGGGAUUUAAAAAGGGGUAGAGAAACACAAAACACAUGAGAUAAAUAGAAACAAAUAAUUUAAUGGCAUACAUAAAUUCAACUAUAUCAACAAUAUAUAAAAUAUAAAUAAGGAUUUGAAUCAUAGAAGGUGCAUUCAUCCAAAAAAUUAAAAUGAUAAAUUAUAAAUCAACAACAGAAGGAAAUUUGGAAAUUCUACAAAUAUUUGGAAUUAAACAACAUACUUCUAUGUAAUCCAUGGACAAAAGAAAUCACAAGGAAAAUUUAAAAUAUAUUGAGCUGAAUAAAACAGAACAAACUCAUCUAUUUCACAAGAGAAGAAAGAUCUCCCAUCAAUAACCUAAACUUGUACUUUAGUAAAUGAGAAACAGAACACACUGAACCCAAAGCAAACCAAAUGAAGGAAAUAAUGAAAAUUAGAGCAGGAAUCUACAAAAUAGAAAACAGAAUAACAAUAGAGAAAGUCAAUGAAACCAAAAGCUGAUUCUUCAAAAAGAUCAACAAAUUUGACAAAACUUUAGGUAAACUAACCAAGAAACAAAGACAGACAACACAAAUUAUCAAAUCUGAAUGAAAGAAGAGACAUCACUACUGACCUUACUGAAAAAAAGUUAAAAAGAUUAUAAGCAAAUUCUAUGAACAAUUUUAUGACAUCAAAUUAAAUAACUUGAAAAAUACAAAUACAUUCAACACAAAUUACCAAAACUAACUCAGGAAGAAAUGCAAUAAAUAGAAAAUCUAACAGAAAUUUAACAAGAUACCGAAUCAGGAAUCUUGCCUCAAAGAAAAGCCCAAGCCCAGCUUGCUUUGCUGCUGAAUUGUAACAAACAUUUAAAGAAUAAACAAUAACAAUCUUUCACAAAUUCUUCCAAAAAAUAAAAGUAACACUUCCCAACUUAUUCUAUAAGGCUAGCAUUAUUCUGAUACCAAAAACAGACAGAGACAUCACAAGAAAACUAUAUACAAAUAUACCUUUUGAAUAGACAUAAAAAUUCUCAAGAAAGUAGUAGCAAAAUGAAUCCAGUGGCAUAUGAAACGUAUUAUACACUAUGUCCAAGUGCUAUUUACUCCACGAACAUGUAAGGUUGGUUUAACAUUCAAAGAUCAAUUAAUGCAAUACGCUAUAUUGGUAGAAUUAAAAGAAAACCUAUAUAAUCAUCUCGAUAAAUGCAGAAAAAGCAUGUAACAAAUGCAACACUCAAUCGUGAUAAAAAAAUUUCUCAACAAACUAAAAAUAAAAUGGAACUUCCUCAGCCUGAUAAAGGGCAUCUACAAAACCUACAAUAGACAUUAUAUUUAAUAGUAAGAGACUCGGUAUUUUCCUCCUAAGGUUGGAAAUAAGUCAAGGGUGUCUGCUUUCACCACUUCUACACAACAUUGUCCUAGUCAGUAUAGUGAGUUGAGAAAAAGAAAUGAAAAGCACAUCGAUUGUAAAGGAAGAUGUAAAACCAUUUUAUUCACAGAUGAUAUGAUCCAGCCAAACUGAAAAAACUUAUGCCCUGAACCUGCUUAACAAAUCAUAAAAGCAUGACCCAAAACGAUCAAACUGUUUCAGAAUAACUUAACUGCAUCAAAGAACAAAGCUCAAAAGUUCAUAAGAAUACAAAAAUAUGCAAGCAAUGAAAACGGCAAAAUUCACAGGGCCUGGCAUCAAAUCAAAGAUUACUGGUUAUGCAAAAAAAAAAAAAAAGCAGAAAAAUAUGACCCAUAAUGAGAAUAAUCAACAAAGCUGACUGAGAAUUUCCAAAGAUGUUAGAAUUAUCAGAGAAGUACAUUAAACAUUUGUUAUCUAUAUUCCGUAUGUUCAAACAGGUAAAUAGAGGAAUAAAAAAUAUUUUCAAACACCCAAAUUUAAUUUCUAGAGAUGAAAACUACAAUGUCUGAGUUGAAGAAAUACACUGGAGGGACAAACAGCACACUAGACAAUGCAGAAGAAAAUAUUUGUGAACUUGAAGGCAUAAAAUAGAAACUACCGAGACUCUGUCUCAAAGAAAAGAAAAAAAGAGCUCUCCCUCUCCCUCUCCCUCUCCCCAUGGUCUCCCUCUCCCCAUGGUCUCCCUCUCAUGCCCAGCCGAAGCUGGACUAUACUGCUGCCAUCUCGGCUCACUGCAACCUCCCUGCCUGAUUCUCCUGCCUCAGCCUGACUGGUUUUCGUAUUUUUUUGGUGGAGAUGGGGUUUCGCUGUGUUGGCCGGGCUGGUCUCCAGCUCCUAACCGCGAGUGAUCCGCCAGCCUCGGCCUCCCGAGGUGCCGGGAUUGCAGACGGAGUCUGGUUCACUCAGUGCUCAAUGGCGCCCAGGCUGGAGUGCAGUGGCGUGAUCUCGGCUCGCUACAACCUCCACCUCCCAGCCG
rnacentral:lncRNA from 1 species